UCUGCACUUCCAACACAGAGGAUCAAAACACAGAUAGACCAGUCGCAGACAGUAAUGGAUGGAUGGAUGAAUGAAUAUGAAGCCAGUGCAGAAGUGCCAAAAGCAGCAUUUCAACAUGAAAUGAUGAUUUGACGCUGCCCCUAAAAAGUCCAACUCCAGGGAAGAACUUAACAUGUUUACUUGAGGCAGACAUCUAUAGCUGGUUUGGCCCUUCACAACAAAUGUACAGUGGGAAGAUUUUGGCCAGCUUGGCAGCCUAUGUGUUGCUCGUGUUCAGAAGUUUGAUGGCUUGAGGAAUAAAAGACCGUUUGGACCUGCUUUUGGUGAACAAUGGGUCUCAUUCGUGCAACCUGCAUCCUUCCCACCUCCAGCUCAUUCUGGCCAGUUAGAGAUCCUCAUCCAAGUCUCCACCUGCCUCAUUUCUUCCGCUACAACCAGUGUCGAGAUUCCGGGGGGUCCUGACCUACUUCUACCACUUUGGACUCCACUCUGCUGUGUAACUUGGUGUAAUCACCAAACAACUUUUUACUCAAACUCUGUUCUUCUAUAA